AUAGAUAAUAAUGAAAGUUUUCCUGAAUUUCUUAAUAACAAGAUAUAACCAGUUCGGAUAUUUGAUAUUUUGAAGGAUUAUUUGAAAGACUUUAAAUAGUGGAUUUAAAAAGCUAUCUUUGAAGAGAGGAAUUAGAAUUUUUUGAUAUACUAAUGUUACCUUUGAUCUGUUGUAAAAUAUUGUGGAAUUUAUUUCGAUUGGAUUUGUAUUUGACCUUGACAGUAUUUGGACUAUUUUUAUAUAUAAGAUUGGAGUUUACGACUCAUUGAUAUUUUUGAAGAGUGAGAAGUGUGAAGCGGGAAUUUUUUUAUUUUGUUGUUUAGGAUGAGACAAAUAGGUGCUGGCAAUCAUCAGUGGUAUAAAAAGCCAUUUAUUAUGACUUUGAAUUUCAUCAAUUAUCCAUGAAAAAUAUUUCGGUGACGUGCUUUUGAGACGAGGAAAUGUGGAGUCCCGUGAAGACAUUGGAAAAACGGAUACUUUGGGUGAUUUCGAAAAGGCCUAUGAAAAUGAGGACAAGCAACAAGAAUAUAAAAUCCAGUGUGAUGAAAUUAACAAGAGGUCAAUCGGUAAAGCAAUAGUUAAAUUCUGCGGAAAUGAAGGAACAGUGAACGACAAAAAUAAGGAGAUGUUAAGGCGUCUUUUACAAGCAACUAUAUCGCACAUAGAAGAAGAACCCUUAAAUACAUGGAAAAAUGCCGAAGUUAAAAUAUAUGACGACAAUUUUGAUAUGUAUAGCAUAAAGGCCGGAAAAGGACAAAACAUGUUUAUGGUGUCACUUGAUGAAAAUGAUGAACCCAAAGUCAUUAGGACGAAACCGUCAAGAGUCAAUUCAAACAUCAAAAAUGAUAAACGCUGUUUACUCAUGUAGUUGUGGGAGACAGUCGAGACACGACAUUUAGACUUUACUACCAAUGUAUUACAUUUUAUGCUUUGUUCAGGCAAAUAUCAUAUGUGACCUCGCAAUUAUCAAGAAUCACGAUUAAUAUCAGUUCAUUUUAAUUUACGUAUGAUAUAAAGAUUGAUAUUAUUGUAAUUUUUUAUGUACAAAUUACAAAUAAAAUGUAUGUUCUGUU